CCACGCCGUAAACGAUGAGCACUAGGUGUCGGGGUCGCAAGACUUCGGUGCCGUAGUUAACGCAUUAAGUGCUCCGCCUGGGGAGUACGCACGCAAGUGUGAAACUCAAAGGAAUUGACGGGGACCCGCACAAGCAGCGGAGCAUGUGGUUUAAUUCGAAGCAACGCGAAGAACCUUACCAGGACUUGACAUCCCUCUGACAGAUCCUUAAUCGGAUUCUUCUUCGGACAGAGGAGACAGGUGGUGCAUGGUUGU
rnacentral:rRNA from 1 species